CUGAGUACGGCGGAACACGUGAAAUUCCGUCGGAAUCCGGGAGGACCAUCUCCCAAGGCUAAAUACUCCCUAGUGACCGAUAGUGAACCAGUACCGUGAGGGAAAGGUGAAAAGCACCCCGGAAGGGGAGUGAAACAGUUCCUGAAACCGUGUGCCUACAAGUAGUUAGAGCCCGUUAAUGGGUGAUAGCGUGCCUUUUGUAGAAUGAACCGGCGAGUUACGAUUUGUUGCAAGGUUAAGCGGAAAAAGCGGAGCCGUAGCGAAAGCGAGUCUGAAUAGGGCGCAUAAGUAACAGGUCGUAGACCCGAAACCAGGUGAUCUACCCAUGUCCAGGAUGAAGGUAAGGUAAUACUUACUGGAGGUCCGAACCCACGCACGUUGAAAAGUGCGGGGAUGAGGUGUGGGUAGCGGAGAAAUUCCAAUCGAACUUGGAGAUAGCUGGUUCUCUCCGAAAUAGCUUUAGGGCUAGCCUCGAGGUAAAGAGUCAUGGAGGUAGAGCACUGUUUGGACUAGGGGCCCUUCUCGGGUUACCGAAUUCAGAUAAACUCCGAAUGCCAUGUACUUAUACUCGGGAGUCAGACUGCGAGUGAUAAGAUCCGUAGUCGAAAGGGAAACAGCCCAGACCACCAGUUAAGGUCCCCAAAUAUAUGUUAAGUGGAAAAGGAUGUGGGGUUGCUUAGACAACCAGGAUGUUGGCUUAGAAGCAGCCACCAUUGAAAGAGUGCGUAAUAGCUCACUGGUCGAGUGACCCCGCGCCGAAAAUGUACCGGGGCUAAACAUAUUACCGAAACUGUGGAUGAACCUCUUUAGAGGUUCGUGGUAGGAGAGCGUUCUAAGGGCGGUGAAGUCAGACCGGAAGGACUGGUGGAGCGCUUAGAAGUGAGAAUGCCGGUAUGAGUAGCGAAAGAAGGGUGAGAAUCCCUUCCACCGAAUAUCUAAGGUUUCCUGAGGAAGGCUCGUCCGCUC
rnacentral:rRNA from 6 species